rnacentral:rRNA from 2 species
UGCAAGUCGAACGAACUCUGGUAUUGAUUGGUGCUUGCAUCAUGAUUUACAUUUGAGUGAGUGGCGAACUGGUGAGUAACACGUGGGAAACCUGCCCAGAAGCGGGGGAUAACACCUGGAAACAGAUGCUAAUACCGCAUAACAACUUGGACCGCAUGGUCCGAGUUUGAAAGAUGGCUUCGGCUAUCACUUUUGGAUGGUCCCGCGGCGUAUUAGCUAGAUGGUGGGGUAACGGCUCACCAUGGCAAUGAUACGUAGCCGACCUGAGAGGGUAAUCGGCCACAUUGGGACUGAGACACGGCCCAAACUCCUACGGGAGGCAGCAGUAGGGAAUCUUCCACAAUGGACGAAAGUCUGAUGGAGCAACGCCGCGUGAGUGAAGAAGGGUUUCGGCUCGUAAAACUCUGUUGUUAAAGAAGAACAUAUCUGAGAGUAACUGUUCAGGUAUUGACGGUAUUUAACCAGAAAGCCACGGCUAACUACGUGCCAGCAGCCGCGGUAAUACGUAGGUGGCAAGCGUUGUCCGGAUUUAUUGGGCGUAAAGCGAGCGCAGGCGGUUUUUUAAGUCUGAUGUGAAAGCCUUCGGCUCAACCGAAGAAGUGCAUCGGAAACUGGGAAACUUGAGUGCAGAAGAGGACAGUGGAACUCCAUGUGUAGCGGUGAAAUGCGUAGAUAUAUGGAAGAACACCAGUGGCGAAGGCGGCUGUCUGGUCUGUAACUGACGCUGAGGCUCGAAAGUAUGGGUAGCAAACAGGAUUAGAUACCCUGGUAGUCCAUACCGUAAACGAUGAAUGCUAAGUGUUGGAGGGUUUCCGCCCUUCAGUGCUGCAGCUAACGCAUUAAGCAUUCCGCCUGGGGAGUACGGCCGCA